CCCUUAGAGUUUGAUCCUGGCUCAGGAUGAACGCUGGCGGCGUGCUUAACACAUGCAAGUCGAACGGGAAAUAUUUUAUUGAAGCUUCGGUGGAUUUAAUUUAUUUCUAGUGGCGGACGGGUGAGUAACGCGUGGGUAACCUGCCUUAUACUGGGGGAUAACAGCCAGAAAUGACUGCUAAUACCGCAUAAGCGCACAGAACCGCAUGGUUCGGUGUGAAAAACUCCGGUGGUAUAAGAUGGACCCGCGUUGGAUUAGCUAGUUGGCAGGGCAGCGGCCUACCAAGGCGACGAUCCAUAGCCGGCCUGAGAGGGUGAACGGCCACAUUGGGACUGAGACACGGCCCAGACUCCUACGGGAGGCAGCAGUGGGGAAUAUUGCACAAUGGGGGAAACCCUGAUGCAGCGACGCCGCGUGAAGGAAGAAGUAUCUCGGUAUGUAAACUUCUAUCAGCAGGGAAGAUAA
rnacentral:rRNA from 1 species